rnacentral:tmRNA from 1 species
GGGGAUGUAAAGGUUUCGACGGGGGUUUCAGAGCGUGAUAAGCGUGGCGGGCCGGGUAAUCCCGUUACAAUGCCCAAACUUUAAAAAUAAACGACAGAUCUACUGCUCGUAUGGCUGCCUAAUUGACCGCUCCCUCGCGGAGCAGUCAAUGGCAGUGCUGUGGCCUAAUGCCACCCGUUCCUCCCUUUCUUACCGCGGUUAGGGACUGAGCGUCACACAAGCGGUGAACAUGCGUGGGGCUUUCGCCCUUGACCCCACCAUGCACAAAAGGGCUACUGAGGAAAAGAGCGUGUCUUUCCGCGCUUCUCCGAGGGAAGCUGAAAUGAUCGACUGUCCACGAAGAAGGUUGCGCCGCAAGGCUUUCGGACACGGGUUCGA